rfam:Schistosoma margrebowiei strain Zambia genome assembly, scaffold: SMRZ_contig0000293
AUCCAGCUGACGAGUCACAAACAGGACGAAACGCGCAUUCUUGAU